rnacentral:rRNA from 1 species
CCUACGGGCGGCAGCAGUGGGGAAUAUUGGACAAUGGGCGAAAGCCUGAUCCAGCCAUGCCGCGUGUGUGAAGAAGGCCUUCGGGUUGUAAAGCACUUUCAGUGGGGAAGAAAGCCUUGGGGCUAAUACCCUCGAGGAAGGACAUCACCCACAGAAGAAGCACCGGCUAACUCCGUGCCAGCAGCCGCGGUAAUACGGAGGGUGCGAGCGUUAAUCGGAAUUACUGGGCGUAAAGCGCGCGUAGGCGGUCUGAUAAGCCGGUUGUGAAAGCCCCGGGCUCAACCUGGGAACGGCAUCCGGAACUGUCAGGCUAGAGUGCAGGAGAGGAAGGUAGAAUUCCCGGUGUAGCGGUGAGAUGCGUAGAGAUCGGGAGGAAUACCAGUGGCGAAGGCGGCCUUCUGGACUGACACUGACGCUGAGGUGCGAAAGCGUGGGUAGCAAACAGGAUUAGAUACCCCUGUAGUC